GCCUAAAGCGUCCGUAGCCGGCUCUGUAAGUUUUCGGUUAAAUCUGUACGCUCAACGUACAGGCUGCUGGGAAUACUGCAGAGCUAGGGAGUGGGAGAGGUAGACGGUACUCGGGAGGAAGUGGUAAAAUGCUUUGAUCUCUCGAUGACCACCUGUGGCGAAGGCGGUCUACCAGAACACGUCCGACGGUGAGGGAUGAAAGCUGGGGGAGCAAACCGGAUUAGAUACCCGGGUAGUCCCAGCUGUAAACUAUGCAAACUCAGUGAUGCGUUGGCUUAUGGCCAGCGCAGUGUUGCAGGGAAGCCGUUAAGUUUGCCGCCUGGGAAGUACGUACGCAAGUAUGAAACUUAAAGGAAUUGGCGGGGGAGCACCACAAGGGGUGAAGCCUGCGGUUCAAUUGGAGUCAACGCCAGAAAUCUUACCCGGAGAGACAGCAGAAUGAAGGUCAAGCUGAAGACUUUACCAGACAAGCUGAGAGGUGGUGCAUGGCCGUCGCCAGCUCGUGCCGUGAGAUGUCCUGUUAAGUCAGGUAACGAGCGAGACCCUUGCCUCUAGUUGCCACCAUUGCUCUCUGGAGCAGUGGGGCGAAUUAGCGGGACCGCCGCAGUUAAUGCGGAGGAAGGAAAGGGCUACGGCAGGUCAGUAUGCCCCGAA
rnacentral:rRNA from 1 species